rnacentral:misc_RNA from 1 species
GAUGAAGAACGCAGCGAAAUGCAAUACGUAAUGUGAAUUGCAGAAUUCAGUGAAUCAUCGAAUCUUUGAACGCAUAUUGCGCUCUCUGGUAUUCCGGAGAGCAUGCUUGUUUGAGUAUCAGUAAACACCUCAACUUCCAUAUCUUUUUUGAAAUGGGAGUUGGACUUGAGUGAUCCCAACGCUUUUCCUCACCGAAAAGUGGCGGGUUACUUGAAAUGCAGGUGCAGCUGGACUUUUCUCUGAGCUAUAAGCAUAUCUAUUUAGUCUGCCUAAAAAACAGAUUAUUACCUUUGCUGCAGCUAACAUAAAGGAGAUUAGUUCUUGUGCUGACUGAUGCAGGAUUCACAAAGACAGCUUCGGCCGACUUUGUAAACUCGAUCUCAAAUCAAGUAAGACUACCCGCUGAACUUAAGCAUAUCAAUAAGCGGAGGA